rnacentral:rRNA from 1 species
UACGUAGGGUGCGAGCGUUGUCCGGAAUUAUUGGGCGUAAAGAGCUCGUAGGCGGUGUGUCACGUCGGCCGUGAAAACCUGCAGCUUAACUGUGGCGUGCGGUCGAUACGGGCAUCACUGGAGUUCGGCAGGGGAGACUGGAAUUCCUGGUGUAGCGGUGAAAUGCGCAGAUAUCAGGAGGAACACCGGUGGCGAAGGCGGGUCUCUGGGCCGAUACUGACGCUGAGGAGCGAAAGCCGUGGGGAGCGAACAGG